rnacentral:rRNA from 1 species
GGUGUGCCUUCGGGAACUGUAAGACAGGUGCUGCAUGGCUGUCGUCAGCUCGUGUUGUGAAAUGUUGGGUUNAGUCCCGCAACGAGCGCAACCCUUAUCCUUGUUUGCCAGCACUUCGNGNGGGAACUCCAGGGAGACUGCCGGUGAUAAACCGGAGGAAGGUGGGGACGACGUCAAGUCAUCAUGGCCCUUACGAGUAGGGCUACACACGUGCUACAAUGGCGCAUACAGAGGGCGGCCAACUUGNGAAAGUGAGCGAAUCCCAAAAAGUGCGUCGUAGUCCGGAUUGGAGUCUGCAACUCGACUCCAUGAAGUCGGAAUCGCUAGUAAUCGUGGAUCAGAACGCCACGGUGAAUACGUUCCCGGGCCUUGUACACCCCGCCCGUCACACCAUGGGAGUGGGCUGCAAAAGAAGUGGGUAGUUUAACCUUCGGGAGGACGCUCACCACUUUGUGGUUCAUGACUGGGGUGAAGUCGUAACAAGGUAACCG